GAAAAAUGUAUGCUGCGGUUCCUGAAGAUCUCUGAUUUAAGUUUAAACAAAGAAGGCUUCUUUGAAAGGUCCAAGUAAGAAAUGCCAAGCUAAGGAGGAUGGAGCUGGCCUGGGAGCUUUGUGAGUUAUCAGGUGCCUUUGCGGAUCCAAACGAUCGGAGACCAAAUCCUGGCCAUACCCCUGAGCAAUCAUGUGACCUUGGGAACAUAUCUUUACCAUCACCUUCAUUAAAUCAAAACCGCGGUACUUCACUUUGCGACUCUUCAGUUUUGUAUGAGAAAAUCGUGCUUUAUGCUUUAUGUUACCGGUGAAAGUAGGGAAACCUGGAGACUCGUGCCGUGGAAGAGAG